GGACGACCCCCUGUCUUGCCAUUGUCCACCCCGACUGACCAAACAAGUUUGCUAAGCCAAAGAACGUUCUUUGGCUAAGCGCCAUUUCAAGCGAGGACAGUCGUAACAAUGGAUACAGCUCCUUUGCCAAAAGAGGCAUUACAUGAUAGUUCAAAAUUAUCAGAUUUUUAUAACUGCAAGAAGUUCCCGAAGAUGCUGUUAAUGUCCUAAAAGGGUAAAGGCAAAGCAAGUAUUUUAGCAUCAGGCUGUUUUAUUUGAAAAAAAAAAAAAAAAAAAAAAAAAAAAAAAUCCAAAUUCUGCACUUCUAAUAUUUGCUAAAUGGAAUAGAAGACAUGGAAUCUCUUGGACCAGCUCAGAAUAAACAGCCCAUUAUAGUGUGUAUUACAAGUUCAUUCUAUAUUAAAGCAGUAAAUCACUUAAUAGCAUGCCCAAAUCAUGCCAUGAAGGCAUUUGACAUUCUAUUUAAAACUAAUUUUGUAUUUAGCGUUCAAUAUGCACAUACAUCAACAAAUUUUUAUAAUUUUGUGGCAAGCCUUUUGUAUAAUGUCAGCACUCCUAGAGCUUGUGUGGACUCUUUAAAUACAUGUUUGAGUGUGAAUUUAUUGCAUUUUGUACAUGCAUUACAUUUCAUGUUUUUAAUGUCAUUUUAUUGUCAUAUUUUCCAUUUUUAUA